UUAUGCUUAGAUGUUCCAACUAGAUGGAAUUCCACCUACUUGAUGCAGGGUUGUUGAAUUUGAAAGUGCAUUUUCACAUUAUGCUUCUAGUGAAAUUGGCUUGAGAUAUUAUCUUGAGCAUUCUUAUAUUGAUGUUGGAAUUCCUAUAGGUGAAAUUUUGAGUAGUGAUUGGGAGAAUGUAAAAAGAAUUACAAAGUUUCUUGAAAUCUUCUAUCUUCUUACUUUGAAGAUAUCUGGACCACGUUAUGUUACAUCGAAUAUUUAUUUUCUUAAAAUUUGCGCAGUUGCUGUCUAUUUGAAGCAAUUCAUAGCAAAUGAAGAUAUAGUUUUAAGUGAAAUGGCAAAGAAUAUGAAAGAAAAGUUUGAUAAGUAUUGGGGUAAUCCAGGGAAAAUGAACAAGAUAAUUUUUAUCUCAUAAAUUUUGGAUCCACGUUACAAGAUCGAAUCAGUUGGCUUUGCACUUGUAAAGUUGUUUGGUAUAGAUCCGGGGGCAACUAUACAAGCAGAAGUGAUGAAGUACGUGACUUCAUUAUUCAGUGAGUAUGUAAAGUCCAGCUCAAAAGGUGUUGUGCUUACUUCAUCUUCAGAUUGUUCUUCAUUGGACACUUCGACUUCCGGGCUUUCUGGCAGUCAAGCAAGCACAAAAAAUAUAGGACUUUUAGAAUCACUCAUGCAAGAUAUAAAAAAAUAUAAAAAUGGGAGUGGAUACUAGAACAUAGUUAGAUAAAUAUUUAGGUGAAGAAACUGAGAAUGACACUAAAGAAUUUAAUGUUCUUCUUUGGUGGAAAUUGAACUCAGCUAGAUUUCCUAUUCUUGAGGAGAUGGCUCGUGAUGUAUUAGCUGUUCCGGUUUCAAGUGUGGCAUCCGAAUGUGCGUUUAGUACGGGAGGACGUCUUCUUGAUUCAUUUAGGAGUUCAUUAACUCCUAAAUUGGUGCAAGCUCUAGUGUGUCUUCAAGAUUGGCUUCGAAACGAAAAAUUAAAACAACCCAUUAGUAUUGAGGAAGAUCUUGAUAAAAUCGAGCAGCUUGAACAAGAUUUAGCCAGCAAUGGAAAGGACUCUUCCGUAAUUGACGUGUAGUGUUAAUAUAUUUGGUCGAGUGUGGCCUCUGUUUGAACUCGAGCGUGAAGAAAUUGCUCAGGAACCAACUUUAUCUGUUGUGUAACUGUGUGCCAAGGCAUCAUCCACUAUCUUGAUCUGACUUUAUCUGCUGUGUAACUUGUAAAGCUGUUUGCAGCUCUGCUGAAUUAUUAUUAUUAUUAGUACAGUCCUGAAGAUCUUUAGCAUGCAAGCUCUGCGGACUUUAUCUGUUGCGAUGGUGUUUAACUGUUGUGUAACUUGUAAAGUUGUUUGCAGCUCUGCCGACUUAUUAUUAUUAGUACAGUCCUGAAGAUAUUUAGCAUGCAGCUCUGCUGACUUUAUCUAC